CAUAGCAGCUUCCCAAAGCAGGCGGCUCCCUGGGCUGGAGGAGGCGCGAUGCCCAGAAAGAACCCAGGUGCAGGUGGGAGAGGGAACCCAGCCUAGCAGCGGGAAGUGGGGUGAGGACCACACUCGUCCGAGUUGGACAAGGGCGAGGUGCACUUCGCGGCGUCAUGCCCUCCUCACUGCCCAGCCUGGACCUGCCCCUCCUGUCCCCCUCCCGACUCACUUCCCAUGGCAAGGAGGUGCCUGCGAUCAGUAGCCAGCAUCGCUGUGGAAGCGGCGAGGUCCACACUGCCCUGCCCAACCCUCCUGGGCUGCCCUCCUCCUCGCAUGUCGCCUGCUGGGAUUCCAGUCCAGCUGCCUUGCCACCAACGGGCUGAGAACCGUUAAGAGCUACCGUUUCCAGCGUGCCUGGCCAGGCGCGCGCCGCUUCGCUCCUCCCCCCGAGAACUUCACCAGGCUCCCGAGCCUGGGGCAUGCUAGGAUUGUAGUCCCGAAGCUCUUGAAAGGGCGGGAGCGGUGAAGAGACUACAUACAGCUCCCAGCAUGCACAGCAAGGCCGGCACAACCGGACUUCGCCUUCAGGACUGCGCGCCGCCUCCUGUUCAUGCUGGCUGGGAUUGUAAUCCAUUCGCCCAGUGAUGAAAAAACUGGAAGCUAAUCAAAGACGACAACUCCCAGUAUGCCAGGCUUAGCUCCCGCCCACCAAUCCACACCUCCCUGUGUCCAGAGCAGUUCUGCCAUGCCAAGGAGAGCCUGGUUGUUCCCAAACCUCUCCUGCCUGCCAGGCGACAGCGGGACCAGGGUGGCUGAUCGUAUCUUGUAAUUAUGUCACUACCUCCCCCUAAGAUGCUGGCUUCAUGCUUCGUCAGUGCCAGAAGUUUGAUUCCUCACGGAGCAGCAGGAGACAGGGAGCUGCUCACAAACCUGUCAAGGUUCCCAUAGUAACGCUCCUCCUCCUGGAGCUGGACUCGCCCCGCCUCUUCCCUCGGCUCUGCCCCUUCUCCUCGCCCCGCCCCUUCCCUCGGCACCGUCUCUGCAUCGGAACGGUACCUCCUCCUCGCCCCACCCCUGACACGCCCCUUCGGACAUGCGCAGUGUAGCCCCUGCGUAGGAAUGUGGUUAACGGCCAGAUGUCUGACAGUUCUCCGACUUCUGGGCAUUCCACGUAGGACGCUUUCUCAUGAGUGUCUGAAACCGUCAGUUCACUGCCAGAAAUGGAGAUACAUGUUUCCUGAUAAACUGGCACUUGCCUUUUCAAAGCCACCAUUUCCUCUAUCCUCUGGGCUGUCACAAAUCCUCCUCUGCACCUCAGGAGUGCCCCUUGGAGCCACGUUCACCACUUCUCUGCCCCUGACCCAGGCUGGUUCCCAGGCCUUGGGGUCCUAGCGUGGACCUCCUGGAAGUAAUUAAUGCAGUUUUCCAGAUUAACUCGAAGUACCCCACGACUAAACGCUAAUGAAACUAGAGGAGGCACAGCUUCAGCUCCGUGCAGGAUGGAUGCACAAGAGCAGAAUCUCCAUGGGACGCCUUUCUGGAGCAUCAGUAUUACUGCAGGAUUUGGAAGAAACAAAUUCAAAUAAUUUCCAAAGUAAGACACUGGAAAUUUAAGAGGAAGCUGGAAACUCAUCUGCCUUUAAUACUUUUUUUUCUCCAAGAAAAAAAAAGAAACUCUAAGGAGAACCUAUUUUUCACUCUUCUAAGUAGUUAAAAUUAGAAAUCACAGCAAGUCAAUAGAAAGCUCUGCCUUGCCAGUCUCCUAAAUCACAAUAUGGCCUUGGUCAAAGCAACCUAUAUGUCAUCAUACAAACUACAGGCUACGAUGAGCACCUCAUUUUCUUUCUGGAAGGCUGACCUUAAAUGUCCUGCACAUUCCUAUAGUGCAUAUUUACCCUUUUCCUAUACUAAGUAAGCCCUAAAUCUUGGCAGUAACAGCCUGGGGAACUACCUGUCUUGCUACCACUCAAGACCAUGCUUCUGUCCACAAAUUCCCCCCAAUAAAUUACCCUUUACUGACAAACUGGA
ensembl:lncRNA novel transcript